AUUGAACGCUGGCGGCAGGCUUAACACAUGCAAGUCGAGCGGAGAUGAGGUGCUUGCACCUUAUCUUAGCGGCGGACGGGUGAGUAAUGCUUAGGAAUCUGCCUAUUAGUGUGGGACAACAUUCCGAAAGGAAUGCUAAUACCGCAUACGUCCUACGGGAGAAAGCAGGGGAUCUUCGGACCUUGCUCUAAUAGAUGAGCCUAAGUCGGAUUAGCUAGUUGGUGGGGUAAAGGCCUACCAAGGCGACGAUCUGUAGCGGGUCUGAGAGGAUGAUCCGCCACACUGGGACUGAGACACGGCCCAGACUCCUACGGGAGGCAGCAGUGGGGAAUAUUGGACAAUGGGGGGAACCCCGAUCCAGCCAUGCCGCGUGUGUGAAGAAGGCCUUAUGGUUGUAAAGCACUUUAAGCGAGGAGGAGGCUACUGAGACUAACACUCUUGGAUAGUGGACGUUACUCGCAGAAUAAGCACCGGCUAACUCUGUGCCAGCCGCCGCCGUAAUAC
rnacentral:rRNA from 1 species